ensembl:snRNA U6 U6 spliceosomal RNA
GCGCUCUCUUCGGCAGCACAUGGACUAAAGCUGGAACGAUACAGAGAAGAUUAGCAUAGUCCCUGCGUAAGAAUGACGUGCAGAUUCGUGAAGCGUUCCAUAUUUUU